AUGAAGUGCUUUGAAUGGCUAGUCAUGCACCACAUCAAGUCUGCCCUCCCACAUUCUGGGGACCCAUUCCAGUUUGCAUAUAGGUCCAACCGGUCGACCAAUGAUGACAUCACUACUGCCAUCCACUCAGCACUCACACGUCUAGAGAAAAAAGACUCAUACGUCAGAAUGCUGUUCAUAGAUUUCAGUUCAGCAUUCAACACAAUCAUCCCUCAACAGCUCAUUCACAAACUGGUCGAGCUGGGGCUCAACACUUCGCUGUGCAACUGGCUGUUGGACUUUCUGACUGGAAGACCUCAGGCAGUACGGGUCAGCAGCAACACAUCCAGCACCAUCACAAUGAACACUGGGCCCCCCCAAGGAUGUGUGCUCUUCACUCUGCUGACCCACGACUGCACACCAUCACAGAACUCCAACCUCUUCAUUAAGUUUGCGGAUGACACGACUGUGGUGGGUCUCAUUAACAACAAGGAUGAGACAAACUACAGGAGCGAGGUGAGCCGCCUGGCAGGGUGGUGCAGUGACAACAAUCUCUCUCUGAACGUGGAGAAGACGAAGGAGAUUGUUGUUGACUUCAGGAGAGCGCACACUCAGCACAAUCACACUGAACACUGGGGCCCCCCAAAGAUAUGUGCUGUGCCCCCUUCACUCUUCACUCUUCACUCUGCUGACCCACGACUGCACACCGUCACACAACUCUAACCUCUUUAUUAAGUUUGCGGAUGACACAACUGUGGUGGGUCUCAUUAGCAACAGAGAUGAGACAAACUACAGGAGCGAGGUGAGCCGCCUGGCCGGCUUUUAUUGUUGCGGAAUGUGGAGAAGACAAAGGAGAUUGACGUUGACUUUAGGAGAGUGCACACUCAGUAUGCUCCUCUGACCCUCAACGGUGCAACUGUGGAGAGGGUGAGCAGCACCAAGUUACUGUGUGUGCACAUCACAGAGGACCUUUCCUUGACCAACAACACCGCAGCACUGGCCAAGAAAGCACAGCAGUGUCCUUACUUCCUCCGCAAACUGAGAAGAGCCAGAGCCCCAGCCCCCAUCAUGUGCACCUUCUACAGAGGCACUAUCGAGAGCAUCCUGACUAGCUGCAUCCCUGUGUGGUAUGGCGCCUGCCAUGCGUCCUGCUGGAAGACCCUUCAAUGCAUAGUGAGAGCAGCUGAGAAGAUCGUUGGUGUCUCCCUCCCCUCCCUCCAGGACAUUUACGGAACCCGUCUCACCCGUAAAGCCCUCUGCAUUGCAGGUGAUCCUACCCACCCAGGCCAGAACCAGCAGACUGAAGGACAGCUUCAUUGAUCAGGCUGUCAGGAAGCUGAACUGCCUCCCAACAUUGCCUCCCCCCUUUUCCCCUAUGCAUCACUGAAAUCUGAACCUCAGCCCCCAUACCCCCCCCCCCCCCAGCUCCCACUAACACACUGGGACCUGCACCAGACACUUUGUGCAGCACUGGUCUGCUCACUACCUCAUUCGGCAUUUAACUGACCUCAUUCAACUACAUCUUCUGUCAGUUUAAAUAAAGAACUGCUCUCUGAGAUUUUUGACACUUUAAUCAGACUGAAUAAGCUCUUUGCACUACAAUCAUUAUAUCUGCACUGUUUGUUUUCUUCACUGGUUUGCACUCUCAAUGGUUUGCAAUCUGCAAUGUGCCUUGUGCUGCUUUAGUUAUCUUUCUUUUUUCAUGACCUAUUUGUAUAUUUGUAUAGUUGUACUUUAUAUUUUAUCUGUAUUUAAUGUUCUACUGUUAGUGUUAUCUGUAUGCACCAAGGGUCUGAGAGUAACGCAAUUUCUAUUAUCUGUAUGUAUGUACUGUACAUGUGGAAGAAUUGACAAUAAAGCAGACUUGACUUGACUUGACUAACAAGAUGCCCCGUUGAAUUCAUUUUGGGAGCGAUGACUGAUUGAAUGUAUUUUUAGUCCAGUGUCUGUAUAUAAGAUUAGUACUGACCAAGUUCAGAGCCUGUCAUAUGUGGAUCAACUUACUAUGUCAUGUAUUUUCAACCGUUUCAAUAUGAAAAAUUACUUUUAUAUUGAUUCAGUGAAAAAUAAAAAGUGUCAUGGAUUUAUUUCAUUUUGGGAAAAAAAAUAAUACAAUUUCAUAAUAAAUCUUUGAAAAUCAAAAUCUGGAUUUGAUUUUUUUUUAUGCUAUUAUAACCUAAAGAUGCUAUGUGAAAGUUUGAAACAGAAAAUAAUGGUUUUCAUCUUGCCACUUUAUUGAUAAAAAACAAAAACAAAACUUUUUUACUCAAAUUGAUCAAAAUGGAUUUAUUGCGUUUUGGAACCAAACUCUUCAUAUAUAUAUAUAUAUAUAUAUAUAUAUAUAUAUAUAUAUAUAUAUAUAUAUAUAUAUAUAUUUUUAUAUACACAUCCAUAAUAAUAUUAAUAUCCAAUAUAAUUGGAGCCAGUCUACUUUCACUUAUCACCUUCAAUCCAGUCAUCCAUUUUCCAAGAUGCUUAUCAUGGGUGCUGGAACUUUUCCCAUCAUCUCUGGUCAUAGGCAGGGACACACUCUGGACAGAUGGCCAGUCCAUCAAGGGGCUAACAUACAUACACACAUUCACAAUCUCACUCAUUCCUACAGACAAUUUGGAGCAACCAAGUAAAAUCCUCACCUGCAUGGAGAAAACAUGCAAACUUCCCACAGAAAGGCUUCUGGCACAAACGGGAACUGCCCGCUAUACC
ensembl:lncRNA